CUAGCAGCACUUGGAUUCUCAUGAUUAAAAAUCAAUGUUAACAAUAGCCCAAAAAUGAUGAUCUCAAUAGUUCUAUUUCAUGAAUGAAAGAAAUUCCUCUGAGCUUACUGGGGGCAAUAAUCUGCCAGCAGUCUUGAGAAAAUUCACAAUCCCAGAAUGGGUGCAGCUGUGCUUCCUCCAGUUGACAUUACAGAGCACACAUGUGUAUGUAUGCAGGCAGGUGAAAAUACUUCCUUUGAAGAAGAUUUCUGGUGUCCAAGCUUUCCUGGAGCAGCAGCCAGGAGAAAAUUUUGUGGUUGAGCUGGCAAUCACUCUUUCCAUACCCACCGAAAAGGAACACGAGUAAGGGUACCCUCAGUCAGCACAAUAUUUCACAGGGCAAUAAUUUAUAUGCGAGAAAGUUUCAUUUUGUGAGGACUGCAUCCGCAGGAAUUUACACGAGAGGAAGUUGUAUUUUCAUGCGAGAAAGUGAUCAAACUUACAUUACACAUUCCAAAUCCCAAAACAGGAUAGUAGUAAAAGCACAACCAACUCUAAAUCUCUAGUUAACACAACCGGUGACAAUCCAUGGUGGUUACACAGGACUACGCUUUCUUCUAAAAAAGAGAAAAACACACAACUACACUACAGCGCAGACAAGCACAGCCAGAAGGAUUAAACCAAGUAUGCCGUGCGUGCAUGCACCGUAGCUUCCAGAUCAGGAAAAUAUGACAAGACUUGAAAUCACGACGUAGCUCACGUUAUCUGCGACGGCAAACUUUAUACUACCAAAGAAAAUUAAGAAAAACCUGCAACUGCGAAGGCUAAGGAGCUGUACUGCCGAGCAGACGGGUUGAUCUUCUUUUUUUGCGGGUCAGCCGUAGAAGCAGGCGACGGCGCGGCGGCGGGGCGGUGGCUGCAGGGCGGCGAGUAUUAGCCCCACCACGACGACGGCGACGACGAUGAGCACCAUGACGAUGUCCUCGUCCAGCGAGAGCAGGCAUACCUUCUUCCCCAUCGCCGCGCGUGUCUGGUGCAACUGGGCGGUGGUUUCUUUUCUCCACUGAAACUGAAAGGAAUUAAUCCAAGAGGGGUAUAAUAGUGGAACCGGAAGCGUGCUGGUAAAGGGACAAAAAUAUAUGACGUGUGUACAGUAGACAUUUCUGAAAGAAAAGGAAAACUACGUACAGUGGGGUGGCUCUGUCGGUCAACUGCGGGUUCGUUUCUUUAGUCAAU
rnacentral:lncRNA from 1 species